rnacentral:tRNA from 1 species
AGCAGGGUAGAGCAGUUGGUAGCCUGUGUGGCUCAUAACCACAAGGUCGGCGGUUCAAGUCCGCCCCCUUUCUA